GUAAUAUUAGUAUAGUUAAUAUUUUGUCUUUCCACGUCAAAGAGCUGAUAAAAAUCAGAUAUUACA
rnacentral:tRNA from 1 species